rnacentral:rRNA from 1 species
AACGUAGGUGGCGAGCGUUAUCCGGAUUUACUGGGCGUAAAGCGUGUGCAGGCGGGGCUCCAAGUGGUGUAUGAAAUUUCCCAGCUUAACUGGGAGAGGUUAUGCCAGACUGGAGUUCUAGAGUGCGAGAGAGGGGCGUGGAAUUCCGGGUGUAGUGGUGAAAUGCGUAGAGAUCCGGAGGAACCCCAGAGGCGAAGGCGGCGCCCUGGCUCGCAACUGACGCUCAGACACAACAGCAUGGGGAGCGAACGGG